rnacentral:rRNA from 1 species
UACGUAGGGUGCAAGCGUUGUCCGGAAUUAUUGGGCGUAAAGAGCUCGUAGGUGGUUUGUCGCGUUGUUCGUGAAAACUCACAGCUUAACUGUGGGCGUGCGGGCGAUACGGGCAGACUGGAGUACUGCAGGGGAGACUGGAAUUCCUGGUGUAGCGGUGAAAUGCGCAGAUAUCAGGAGGAACACCGGUGGCGAAGGCGGGUCUCUGGGCCGAUACUGACGCUGAGGAGCGAAAGCAUGGGUAGCGAACCGG